UUACAGCCAUAUCACAUUGAACCACCAGUUCUCGUACGGUCACCGAAGUUAAGCAACGUCGAGUCUAGUCAGCACCUAGAUAGGUGACCGCUUGGAAAGACAAGGGGCUGUAAG